rnacentral:rRNA from 1 species
UACGUAGGGGGCAAGCGUUGUCCGGAUUUAUUGGGCGUAAAGAGCUCGUAGGCGGCUCGGUAAGUCGGAUGUGAAACCUCCAGGCUCAACCUGGAGACGCCAUCUGAUACUGCCGUGGCUUGAGUCCGGUAGAGGAGCAGGGAAUUCCUGGUGUAGCGGUGAAAUGCGCAGAUAUCAGGAGGAACACCAGCGGCGAAGGCGCUGCUCUGGGCCGGUACUGACGCUGAGGAGCGAAAGCGUGGGGAGCGAACAGGAUUAGAUACCCUGGUAGUCCACGCCGUAAACGUUGGGCACUAGGUGUGGGACCCCAUCGACGGGUUCUGUGCCGUAGCUAACGCAUUAAGUGCCCCGCCUGGGGAGUACGGCCGCAAGGCUAAA